CUUUCCCAGCCCCGCCGCGAGAACCCGGAACGGGGCGACGGCGGAGGGAGGGGCCCCGGGGCGGGCUCCGGCCGGUCCUACCUGAGCAGUUGAUGCUCUUGCCUUUGCCACCGGGACAGUCCCCGCCGCCGCCGCUGCCGCCACCCGGGGGCUGGUUGGACGCGCGGCUGCCGGGCAGGGAGAAGGCGAAGAGCAGAAGCACCGACGUGUAGCAGCAGAAGGCGAGCGGGGGCGCGGCAGCCAGCCGGAGCGGCCCCUCAGCGGCCGCGGCGCCCAUGGCUGGCGCCCCUGGACGGCGGGAAGUGCAGGGAGCUGCAGGCCGGGGGCAUCCAGCCGCGCGCCCAGAGCCCCGCCGCCGCCUCUCUCUGCCUCCUAGCAGCCGCGCCGCUGCACCCGGGAGCAGCCCCUCGGCAUCCCCGCCCCACACGCAGCGCCCGCCAGGCCCCGGCCCGCAGCGCUCGGGACGAAGUCGGUGGGUCCCGGCGCGUGCGAGGGUCGCGGGCGCGCGAGGGAGCGCGCGAGGGUGCGAGCCCGCGUGGGGGAGAUCGAGACUGGGGGCGCGAGCGGGCGCGCGCGCGGUGGGCGGGGGUCGCGGGGCGGGGGCAGGCCCAGCCCCUCGCUCGUCGGCUCCCUUCCCUUUGUGUCCGCGGCCGUCGCCACCGCGUCACAAAGACCCCGGCCCGCCCGGUGAGGGGCGCGUGACGGAGCCGCGGGCGGGAGGGGUGGCUGCGACCCCGCCCCGCGCACACCCCCAGCGCCCGCGCCGACAGCUCCGCCCCCGCCCGCGGCCGGCAACGCCUCCGGGGCUGCUAUUGUUCCUGCGGCGGGGCGGGGGCCGGGCGGGGGGCGCGCACCUCUCCGCCGCCGGGUGGGCUUCGCGGUGCCGAGGUGACCUAGUCGGCUGGGUUUCCCUAACAGACGUCGUCGCUGCCCUUUGUGAGAGUUUUUGAAGCGUUUCCGUCAAACGUUUUGAAACGCUGGGAAAGAGGGGCAGGUGGGCCACCCUCUGUUCUCCAGGUGAAGAAACGACCGCGGAGAGGAAAAGGUGACUUGUCCAAGGUCACACACCAAAAAAUGGGCAGGAUCGGGAUUGGAACCCAAGUUCUGACUCCAGCCGUGCAGUUCACAGAGAUGAGAUGCUACGUGAAUGGCUGAAUCUCUAGGACCUCACCCCCACCGGGUUCCCAGAUGCGCCACACCGACUGAAUUUAAAAUACUUUGGAAAGUCUGUAUUGCUCUCUCCCCCUAAUAACAGCCAAGAUUUAGAGAGGACUUGCUGGGUCCGAGGCCUGGAGGAAGCUCUCUGCAUGCGUUUCUCUCCAGUUCUUCUUUACAGCCUUACACGGGAGUUUUCAUUCUCAUCUACAGAUGAGGAAGUUGGGACCCAGAGACUUCAUGAUCUGCCUCUCAGACCAGUGUUCUUCAGGCCACAUCUUGCUAGGUGAUAACCCAGACAUAAGAUCCUGGACUGAAUUCUCGGGAAGUCUUCUGCCCUCUUCAUUCCAUUAUACUGCCUCCUAUCUCAGAAGGAAUUUUUAAGUCUCUUUGAAAAACUCACCAGUUUAACUCGUAAAAUUAAGAAAUGUGUGGGAAAUCCACAUCAGGAAAAAUGCCUUCAAUGUAAAAAUGAGACAAAAUACUUACACAAACAGAUAAUAAUAAAAAGCUGACUGGCUUAUUCACAAAAAAAG
rnacentral:lncRNA from 1 species